AGUCCAGAGUUAGGCUUUUUGACACUGCCUGAGCCCUACAAGAUUCUUUCUCUUUCCCAAUUCCCACCCCCUCAAGGUAAAAAUGACGGCCUCCGACAUUUUUGUAGCUGUACCAGGAGCAGUGACAUACCCUGCAGUCUGGUGAGGAAAGUACAUAUAUGCCACAGUUAGACUUGUAUAUGGACAGCAACCAUCUUAAUUAGAGACGGGGGCCUUCCCUGUCAUUGGAAAUGUUCACAUGGCGUAUCAGUGACCGGCAGCUGGGACAAGGAAGAAUGGGCACAUUUUGCGGUGGGUAGGGAGCUGGACUGUUUGAGCCACCCACAUCUGAAUGUGGGACCUACAGGGCACAGAGGAGCUCCUGGUAUCGGGACCUGAGGAUCAACGCCUCCUUACAACAUUCUGCAAAAUAAUUCCUCAACAAAAGAUCAAUCCCUGUCACGUGAUCCCAGACGCCAAGAGUUUACUCCAGAAGCUUCCUUUCAACUGGUCACCAGCUCCUUAUCCACUGAAAUCCUACCCAUCCUCCACGUGCAUUAUUAUGGGCUUUGUGUGGCAUGAAAGGGACCUCUGCUAAACUACUUUAUUAAGAAAAUAUUAGUCUUUUACUCAUGGACAACAAGGUGCAUGGUUUUCUUACAGUUCUGAUGGGGCCAGGAAACCCUGUGUAAGGUCUUCACACUAUGUGGUGGGAGGUGGCGACUGUGCGCUGCUCACUCCAGCCCAGCUUCUUACUGACAAGU
rnacentral:lncRNA from 1 species